CCGCUUACCAUGGGUGUGGUAGGCCUAGGAGGCACCGGGAAUUCUUAUCUCCCGUUCUUCUCUCAAAUCACAGUGGACACGAUUGCUAUUUUGGUUCUGAUGCUAGCAACCAGUGUCCGGCUCCAAAACUAAUUCUUUUUUACAUCUGAUCUUCAAGAGGACUUAUUGGGUGCUUCAAUAGACUUUGUUGCUUAAGAAAGAGGAUGACCACAAAUUGAAAGAAUGUUGCAAGAUUUUGGAGGCAAGGGUCAUGGAGUUGUAUGCAAAAUAUGGGUGGAACCUUAAAAGAAGAUUGUUGUAGUCUUGUGUUUCUCUUUUCUCUUUUAAGUGUUGUCACUUUGGUACUCUUUUAUUGUAAGGAAUUCGGGUCUAAGUACUCUUGUAUGACUUUAGGCUGUAUACAUCCAUUGUGGAUGUAGAGGCCGGAUUUUAAUCCAUUUUCUAAAAAAAAAGAGAUGUAACAGUCUUCCAGAUCAGCAGAUCCUCUAUUGAAGAACACAAUACACUGUACUUAUUUUAGACGGAGUGAGAACUUGAUGGCUUGCAUUGUUGAAAGCCUGACACCCAAAGAGAACAAAACAAUUCAAUGCACUUCACUUGAUUGCUUUAUGUCAUGACUCAUUCACAUCAUAUAUAUCCAUUCUAGGCUAUCCAUAUGUAAACCCAUGAGUGAAUGAAGGAGCACAAUAAAUGCUAUAGGCUAUAGGAUAGUGAUGAAGAUGAACAUUGGUUCAGUCCUUCAGGGAGACAAAGGCAACUGCACCCCAGCAGCUUGCAAUGGUUGGCCUAGGAGGCAUCAGAAAUCCUUUGAAAUCUUUGAAGUGCGUUGGAAUAGCAGAAAGUAAGCGUGAGACAGUCCAUAAAACCGUGGAGUCAAUGGUAGCGGAGGCAGAGAGGAAGCCAUCGAGCUCGGAGCUUGUCAAUGGCAGCCUCGUGCAACAAGGAUGGAAGCACUGCCAAUGAUCCACUCGGACGCCAUGGCUUGGUGCAACUGCUCUACUCAGUUGGAUAUCUACGUCCUGCUUCUUCAGCUCAAAUCCUCUUCCGAAUAUCUUCUCUUCCUGAAUCCUGAAUGUUGUACGCCAACCUGCUAGACAAUUCAGUCACUGAACUAAUAAAGUUUGCAUGUAGUGAACAAAUAACUGCCCGGUAUCGCAUUGUAUAAAGUAUGCUUAUGGGAUCAUCUGCGUCUUCCCUGGUACACAGCAAGAUGUUCACUCAAUUGUUCUUCUAAGGCCACCUUAUUUUCUGAAUUUUCUGAAAUAAACCAUGCCAUUGCUGCCAGUCUAAAAAAUCACACCCUGCUAUUAUCAUUUGGACUGAAACAAGUCUUUGAAAGUUGACCCCCGAUGCCAAAUUCAGAUUUCAGACAAAAUUAACUCAUAGAUUUACCCAGUAAAUACCAACAACAUGAAAGGACUCUAACUUGCCAGAUCCUAGCCGAUUGUUGGUAGUGGAGGCCACUGCUACUGAUAGCAGCUAGCUAAAAUGAAACUAAUUGUUCAGACCAUGUCCAACUGAUUGUUCUAAAUUGAAUGGCAAUUGGCGCCAGCGUUUUAAUCUCUGACCCCCUUGGCUGCUAUCUGCGGAUGUUCAGGCCAUGUUCAAUUUCUGCAAUGCCACCAGCAGCAAUACAUGUUGUACGACAACAAUGCAGUGAAACAACAAUGCAACUUUCGUUCAGUUGUAAGCCUUGCCAUUGCGUUGUUGCUGAUUAGAAUUGCUGAAGAAAUUAGGGACCUGGGUACCUAUUUGACCCACAUUAAGUUGUAGCUUGCUAGUUCUCCAUUGAACACAAGAAUGACUGCAUGUACUGAACUAUAAUUGCUUGGAAUUAGAAAUUAGUGGUACAUCUGAUCACAAACUAAAACUCUCAUUGACUUGGUUGGAUGGCUGUACUAGGCCUAAGGCAACAUUGUCUUAGCAUCUGAAUCUUCUCCAAGACAUCAGCAGCAUGUUCACUUCAAUUUUAUUCAGGCCAUCUUGUUUCUGAAUUUGCCAAACAGAUCACACCAUAUUCAGAUUUCAGGCCAAACCACAUAAAUUUUGCCAGUUAAUAUCAAAUAAAAACGAAAGCACAGUUGCAAAUUUUUGUUCAUUAACUGUUGUCCUUAAGACAGCCAAUUUUGCAUAGCUUGCAAAGAAAUUGCUCUGCCAUUAAAGGAUUCUAAAUUUAGCACAGUUUGGUUGUGCUGAUCGUUUCAACAGAUUAGAAGGAGUAAGAAGGUAAAUGCAUAACUGAACAUACUGAUGUUCCGAAAGCAAACAGCAGUUUUAAGCUACGAAGAAUUUAUACAUCAGCCGGGAAGAACCAAGUCAGAAAGUGGCGCUUGUGCCGCAGCUCUUUCAUCACAGACUCAGGCAGCAAUGGUUUGAUUACCCCAUCUCACAUGUUGUACAGUCCAGAAUCAUGGAGAUGAUCGGCAUGUGCACAGAAGCAAAUGCUAGCUGGAUAUUGUCAUAUACCCUAUGCAUGAAGGAGAUGCGCAGUCUUCUUGAGCUCCGAGUUGGCUAGCAGCCACAGAUUUUGAUCAAUCCACGCCGCCUUUUUGUGAUCGAAUCAACCAACUAAUAAUGAACUUAUGGAUUCCAGUAAUUGUUUGUUUCUGAAAUGAUGUAACAAAAUUCUGCAAUUUAAAAUCAUGAGUGGUUCGCGUGGCCACUGACUUUCUACUUUGAAUUGAAGAAUUGAAGUAACAGAAAUUUGUCAUACAUUUUCAGAAACAACCACACUCCGUUCUGUACCACUAGACUGCGAUGUGCAUCCAUUAGUAAUGUACGUAGUGGUACACCCUUUUGCUCUAUAAAUAUGAGAUGCAGUUGCACAAGCUGAGAAAGGACUGAAGGAUACAUAUUCAAUUGACAUAACAAUGGUGCAACCAAUGUUUCAUGGAACAGAAGCCACUCCAGCCAUGUAGAUGGUGGCUAUGGGUGUUGGGCUAGGAGGCAUCAGGAGCUUGCAUGUCACCUGUUGAAAUUGUCAGGCAGGCAUCACCAAGAACCUCUCAACAGUGACCAGACAUGCCACCACGACCCUCCCUUGGGCAACUGGUAUAGUACAACCAUGGUGGCUGGUCGACAAAAUUUGUUUCUUGAUUUUGCUUUCUACUACUAAUUCGUGUUUCAACAUGGUAUAAAUAUUUGUUGUUCUUUUCGAUUCAGUUACUAAGAACACGUAUAGGUGUUAUAGGAGUAUUUCACUCCCCAUAAAAAAACAUGUAAGUAGUUAUGAACUUGAUAUGAGCUACUCCUAAUAAUUAUGAUCGAAAUUGCAAACCUCGGUACCGGUGUUAAUUAUUCUUUGCCAAGCUAUAUGUUCGAAAUUAACUCGUCAAGUCAAGUGGUAUAGCUGGCAUGGUCGAUAACUCGCUGCAUUGAGUUGAACAAUUGAAGAGACAAACUGAUCUGACCUACCAACAAAAAUCAAGCUAUGGGGUUAAAAUUUGACACGGAUAUUUCACAUAUAUUCUGAAUUGUCCAUCCCACAUCUUAAAUUGCUGCCAUCAGACAAUGCAUCUAUAUAUAUGAACCUAUCCCUUCUGCUCCACAUACACAAUACGAGACGAAGCCACAAAGGAAAAUAGCAUGAUGAGAAAGGCAACUCCUUGCAGUUCUUCGCCGGGAAUUUCACAAGUAUUCUACAUGACAUAUCGUCUUCAAGAUUUUGAAAGUGGCGUUUGGCCUAGGAGGCAUCAGGACUUCUCAUGUCAGAGGAUGUAGUCGUGUAGGUGCUGACUGCCAAGCCAGUGCCACCAAGCGGCAAACCGCGGCGAGCGAAAGCAUUCGGCGGCACAGUCGCUGGAGCCCAGCAUGUGGUGACUGCUCUGGAAUUCAGUAAUACCGGCUGGAUAGAUUUUCUUUAUCUCUAUAUCAUGCAAGAUGCCACAUGUAUAGCUGAGGGAUGACACAAUAUUUUCGCAAAUGCGAACCUGUAUGUAAUUUGUGGCGCACUGAAGUGAACUGACACAAAAAGAGAAGAGGCAGUUCACUGCCCUUCAGUAUCAAAUGAUUAGGGAGCUGGAGGAGGCCGCUGCACCCAGCAGCUUGCAAUGGUUGGCCUAGGCGGCCUAGGCAGCAUCAUAAGAGGAAUUUUACAAUCCUUUAAAAGGUAGCUUGAGGUACCAAAAUUUUACACGAGAAUUUUUAGUGCCUUAAGAUACUUAGUAUCUAGAGGUACCAAAUUUUGGUAUCUGGAGGAGAAAAUAUGGUACCUCUAGAUAUCUUCUCAAGGAUGGUAAAAUUACCCGCAUCAUAAACAUUUGACAAAGAUAAGAUGAUGUUGCCUCAUCAUUUCGCCUUAGUUUCAGUCAAAAUCUGGAUUAAAUUGAUUAAACAAGGUGGAUGUGGAUGUGUGAUGUUCAUUAACCCUUGCAUCCUGCAGUGGCCGCAAAUCGCAGAAAACAAGUGCGAGAUAAUCCCUGUCGACUUGAAUCCGUCGAGUCAAUAGAGAUGGAGCCAUAUGGAGAAAGCCGUCGAGGUCGGAGCAUGUCAAUGGCAGCCUCACGCAACUGCCAAUGAACAAAGGGGGUCUCACUAGUACAGAACAAGCCAUUGGUGUCAGUCGGAACCAGCCUUUUGUGCCGGCAUUCUAUGGCUCAUCAGUGCUGGAUAAAAAACCAUCACUCUUAGGAUCUCAUCAGUAAAAAAAAAGGAAGCCACUCGAUCCACAUCAAUCCAGAAUCAAACCCAAAUUACACAUCAAUUUUUGUACACAGACAUUUAUACACAACAAUUUGAACACAACCCCUUGUCAAUAUUGCAGACACACAUCUAACAGCAACAAACUUUUUUCCAAUCUAGAGAUGACACCAAAAAUUUGUUCACCUGAACUUGACGACUAACCUCUUUGAAGAUGGUGGACUGGAUCUGGAUCUGCCGCUGCAGCUCGGCCGUGUCCGUGGACUAGAUCUGCAUCGGCGCGGUCUAGGACAACGAGCCAAUGCCAACACCCCCACUAUCAUCAAGGGGGAGGAGGCCCAUGGUCGAGGGGAAGGAUGCUCUUCUUAAAUCCUGAUCGACUCACCAUUAUUUUUCUCUUCGUGGAUGAUGAAUGUAUAAAAAUGGAGUAAUAGACCUGUAAAUAAUUAUGAUUUACAAACUCAUGGAUGACAUUUGCCUUUUUUUAAUGAGUUUGGAGGUCAAUGCUGUACGUAUACUAACCUGUUGGAAAUUUUGAUUCUCGAUGUAAUAUAACGACAAUUAAUGCAACUCCCAUUCAGUUUGAACUGAUGAACAAGUUCAUUUUUUUAGAGAAGGGUAUUUUUACCCAGCCUCUACAUCCAACCGGAUACAUGCAGCCUUUUUAAAUUAGGAACUUAGCCUAUCGAACAGGGAACUUAGCUCUCAAAUAACCCAAUUGAAAUUCGCUCCUUUGGAGAAUUGAACUCAGGAUCUUGGGGUGCUACUCAGGUUACUGCAACCACUAGGCUACAUGCCCUUUUACUCAAUAAGUUCAUGACUUGAACCUAUAUAUAGCUAACAUUCAGUUGUAGCCCGCUUGUUGCGCAAAUGUCCAAUUGAACACGAUAAUGAUUUCAUGUAUUGAACUAGCUUAUAACUGCACAUUUGACUGAUGUCUGCUCCAUGUUCGUUCGUUCUUAUCAUUAUUAGAUUAGAAGCAACAGGCCAGUUUCUGUCAUGUCCAACCACUGCAGAUGCUACCAGCAGCAAAGCUUUGCUUGUAUCAUGUGCCCUCUACUGUGCAACGAAGGCAUGAACACUUAUCAGUUACCAAUGUUUGGGCUAGGAGGCAUCGGAAACCCUCUGAUUUCUUCAAUGUGGCUGCAAAUCGUGGAAAACAAGCGAGUGGGAAUCCCUGUUGAGUUGGAUCCCCUGAGUCGAUGGCUGUGGAGCCAGGAAGGAAGCCAUCGAGCACCAUGAUCAAUGAUAGUGGCUGCUUGCAGCAGGGAUGACAUUGCCAGGAAUAACUGGGCGGCCUUGUGUCUUGCCGCAGCUGCUCUACCCAGCUCACCAUUUUCGUGUUGCAUUGCCCGAUUAGAGCACAAUAGACUGGAUGCAAUUAAUUGAUAAUUGCGUGAAAUUAAUGUAUAUCUGAUAACAAACUUAAAAUGUAUCUGAUCACAAACUUAAAACUUGAGUGACUUGGA